CCCGGUCUCUAUUUAGAAAAACUUGAGAAAUAGGUCAUACAAUUAUUGCCAGUUUUUCAAGAUUUUUAUCAUAAAGAAAGUAACAUUGUAAAAUCUUUGUCUACGGUUCUUUGAAAACCCGAAUUCUUGAAAACGAGGUUAUCGUCGCCCAGCAUCAAUUUCUACAAAAUGACAGGUUAUUUUAUUUCAUUCUUUUUUCAUGUCUCUAGGUUAUGCUAAAGUUCCUACUUUCUACGGUAAACAGAAAUUUCUACAAAGACAAGAUUGCAUUAACAGCAGUGGUGACUUAUUGGUUAACUGUAAGUUCAAAGAUUUGUUUAUUUGCCCUUAUGAAUCUAAGAGAGAGAAUUACGCCUUCCUUCACGGUCUGUUACGUCAUCUGCAUGUAACGUUUAAGCAAGGAUAAAUUGGUAAUUCCAUUGCCAGGUUAUAAUUCUAUACUGUGAGUAAGAUUAAAAUGCUCUCGUAACAAUGUACCGACUUUUGCUAACAAGUAACUUGCACAUUGCUCAGAGCGUCUUAAACGUCUGCGAAGUUUAUGUUUUUGCAACUUGUUUGCUUUAAAGCGACAAUUAAGAAAUAGCUAGAUUGUUACAAUCUUUUCUUUUAAAUGAGGUCAUAACGAAUGUCCCCUUAGCUUGUAAACCACUCCACAGAAAUUGAUUGUUGGUCUUCUUGUGGAAUAAGGGAUUUUUGAAAAAAGGAUUGAAAAUGCAGGGCCUUCGCUAGCUAUUGUACUUAAAGGCUGAUUUCCACGAGGCGAAUUUCGCAUUGAAUUAGCUGUGAAUUCUCUUUGAAAUUGUCUUUUGAAUUCCGCGGGACUGCGAAUUCACUGCGAAAGAAUAUAUUGAUUUCCCCCAAAACUCGACUUUAAGGCGCCCAUUUUCAGAACUGCACGCAUGGCGAAUGUUCCAAGACUUUCUUCUUACAAAUCAAGCAAAUUUACCAUGCUUCGACUCUUUAUUAGGUGCUGCGAAAUAUUUCGCCGCGAAAAAGUAAAAUUAUUUUCUACUUUGUUGCGAAUUCGCUGCGAAAUCAAAAAUCAAAACUGCGCAUGCCUUUAUCCCUUCUUCAGCGACUUCGCCGCGAAUUCGCUGCGAAAUUCGCCUCGUGGAAAUCAGCCUUACGCGAGGUUUCCAGGUCCCAUUUGCCGACAAAGUGGGUUAGAUAUUCUUUAUUUGUUGACAGACAACCUCCCCCUUCAAACAACGGAAUUUGUAUUUGUAUUUUAAUUUGUUUCUACCUAGCAUCCGAAAGUAGUUUUUAGGACAAUAAGAAGCCUAUGCUUAUCGAGCAGUGUCCUGGACCUUCCUCUCGAUGUGACCACACCUCGUGAUUCCUACGCCUGGAAUUAAAGAGAGUUGGCGAUACUCCACAAUCUGGGUGGAAGUUUGGUCGUGUCGGGGACUCGAACCAUGGAUCCUUGGAUCUGUGGUCAGCGUCCCUAACCACUGAACCAUUCUCGCACUUUUUUCAAUCCUUUUUUCAAGGGGGUUUCUUUAAUAAAAUUCAUCUUUCUACACGAUAUCCUAACAGAAAUUCAAGUAAACACCCUUACGCCCCCAGAAUGACGGCGCUGAAAACAUCUACAAUGACUGUUUCCAUUGCUAUUCUUUGUAAUAGCAAAUCUGGCACAACCAUACCCUGUGGUCAAAGUGUCGAAAAGUUGAGUUGAAUUGACCCCACAAUUUCACUAAGGCUCUGGUAACCAAAAUUGCUCAACAGUUACUUAAUGUUAUGAUGCAUAUACUUCCACGCUCCCUGUGGCAUUGUCUUGUUUGUAUACUAUUAUGGAAACAUAAAAAUGACACAAGAUUAAAAAUACUGACAUGACCGGCAAGGGUUUUGCCAAGGGGGGGGGAUAUUGCCCACGUUAGAUUAAAUUCUUCAAAAUUAGCAACCAAACUCUUUCUUCUCUUGACCUUCCCUGUGCUGUGGCUACCCCCCAAUCAGCAUAUAGAAGGGAAGAAUUUGUUGUAUUACAGCCACGAAACCUUGAAAACUGCUUUCUAAAUCUAAUUUUUUGUUUUGACUUUAAUGGCUGAUGAUGCAGUUCCAACAAUUAAUGAAUCGCAAAUUUAUUACUGUUAAAAUCUAAAACUUACAUGGUUUGGGGUGUAUUGACAGUUUUCUUUCUGGAAUAAAUUGACUGGAAUGUUUCUUAAUCAGUAUCCUUAUGCACUUAAAAAGCCAUUGUGCUCAAAAUUCAAACUCCAAUUUUUGCAUGAAAACACUCAAUACAGCUACUUCUCUUACCUGGUGUAGAAUGACUGCCUCUUUGUGACUGGAUAUGUGUACAACUGACUCAGAAAACUUACGUUUCGAAAUGCAAGUGAAAUCGUAUUACCACAACAAAACAUUGCAGAUUAAUCUGCUUUUAAUAUGGAUAAUAUCGUGUGGCUUUUAAAUAGUUACUUUUGAAUGCAUCUUUUUACUGCAUUUGUUAGCUAAAGAUAUACAUUUGCAUCCAGUCAGGCUUCGUUUUCUGAACGACUGACAAAUAUUGGGACAAUUCAUGUUGGACCUACAUAAACACUGUUGAAUCUUACAAAGCAUCUUUUAUCUUUAAAGAGCACAAAUGUGUAUCGAGGCUGGCAGUUACUAGGAAUUAAAGCACUGUUGCCUGCUUAAUCCUGUGCAUAUUAUUUCACACAAUGCAAAAGGAUUUUCUCUGGAUUUACCAUGUAACGUCAAAGGCACUAUAAAGUCGGUUUAUUUAAGAGGAUGUAUUAUCAAUUGAUGUUAGCCGAAUAAAAAUAAUAGGUAAUUGUAUCCUAGGUAAAAAGGAGGAUAAAUCUUUGUAACACCUUUAUGACUCAAUGCGCUAAAUUUUUCUGCUAACUCUUUGAGAAAUUAUAUCUGGCUACUUGAAAUUAACGUAGUUCAAUCUAGCAGAUGGAUUUGUCAACGUGAAACAAAGAAUUCGCUUCAAAACAAAUUUUGGAGUGAAGAUUUCUCUAUUCCAAGAAUUUGCAUUUUAAUGCUUCUUCAGCCAACCAAGCAUUAGAGAUGUCUCUCGACUAAAAAAUUGGUCAUUGGUCAGGUGAAGGAAGCAGAAUGAAAGUUACGCGAGAAGAAGGACGGUGCAUCUGAUUGGCUCCUUGUUUCGACCAAUCAACAGCCUUUAUCCCCUCACAUAGCUGAAGCGCCCAAGAAAUCAAAUGAACUUUACCUCUCUUCAUUUAUCGGGGUCUUUUGUUUUGAUGUAGCAGAAACGGGACCAGGAAAUUCAAAUUGAGGGAGGGGGGGGGUGUGGAUCUCGAGUUGAUAGCAUUAUUUUACUAAACAAACAGCUUUUGAAAAAAACGCACUAAAAUGCUUCAUGAUAUGUUUUGAUUUUAUGGGGCCCACUUUAUGCUAGCGAUAAAUUUGAAGGACCGGCGAGUCUGCCUGAGGUCCUAGGAAUGUUUUAAAGAAGAGGCUCUCUGCAACCACGCCCUUUAGAUUAGCAAGCAGAAAAAUUUGCGACCACCCCUUUACAUUAGCUAAAAAUGCAUUUUAGGAUUUUUCUUGCAGUCAUUUUCUUGUAAUCAUUUAAAUCAUUUUACUAUUUUCAAGGCAUGCUUUUGUUACAUUUGGUACUGUUUCAAUUGAAUUAUUUUUAAGGCAGUCUUUCAAUGGAAUUCAUUACUUUAAAAAGGCCAAUAGACCUCGGCUUACUUCUUUGAAAUAAAGCAAUACAAGGAUUUAUUCUACUAUUCUUUUCUUUUAAUCCUUUUUCUUUAUUAUUUUCUAAUGUUUUUAAAAACAUUUUUUGCAUAAAGGUUGGGGAGGCUGAAGCCUCUCAGCCCCCCUUUGGCGCCGCCCUUCUCCAGACAGAUUCCAAAACGCCUAAAGGGACAGAUAACUUUCCUUCCCCUGGUAUUAUGAAGUAUUGGUCACAAUAUGUUUUGGCAUACAAAGGGAUUCGUAAGUAUAUAUUGACCUAGUUCCAAGCAAGGAGUAGUUAAACGACACCAAUUUUCAUAUCAUCAGUGUUUUAAAAUAUAUUUCUCUCCUAACUCUUAAUGUUUGAUAAAAAAAUAUCCCUAUAUGUAGGGCUAAAGAACGGAACUUGGAAAGAGUCAUUAACACCCUUUAUCAGAGCAAGACCGCACGUAGCGAAUAUCUUAAACCUUGUUGUAAUCUCCAAUUGAUAGAUAUUAAGCAGUGCUUAAGAGUGAUAACACUUCUCAACAUAGAGAGUAACCAUUAAAAACCGUUAAUUUAACAUAGUUACCACGUUAUGUAGUUUAGUUGCAACAAUCGACCGCGCUUUGGCAUUUCCUUGAAAGUAACGGGUAAAUUUCCCUGGUAGUUUGAUACAAGGGUUUUUGAAACCACAUUCAACAAGAAGAAAGUGCUUCAUAAAAUCUCGCAAAGAUUACAAAUUUUGAAAAGCUUUACUUGGAAUAACAGUAUCAGGCUUAAAACAUUUCAUCGAUAAUUUGAAAGGACCUACAAAAAUACGCACUCACUGAUUUUACAAGCGAAACUUUUGCCAACAUUUGCCAACAGUUAUCAGAAAUUAGCAAAACUAUUUGUGAUUUUUAUCCAGAAGGAUACGACGAAAAUCAGAUAGAGAUAUUUUAACUUCAGAUUGUCGUAGUAGUUCAGCUGAGUCUGGAAUAGACAGUACUUCUUGGCAACAAAAUUUUGAUGGGCAAACAGUUUACAGAGAGUAGCUACAAACAAAUUUUUACUUUAAUAAAUAUGACCAUGAAAAGAAAUUAUACAAAAUUAUACUGUCCGAGGUACAAGAAAUGUUCAAGCAUUCAUGACAUAUUUAAUCAAGUGUUCAAAGUUAACCAAACCAUUUGAGUCUUCCUGGUGGUUGAUUAUAUCGUCACAUUGCUUCUCUGUCAUUUUGUCACCAAUGUUUGCAAGUAUGUGUCUCAACUCAGCUGCUGAUAUGUGACCAGUUUGUUCCCUGUCGAAUGUUUUCAAACCUUCCACCAUAUCUGCGUAUGUACCAACACUGGGCUUGGUCGACAAUUGCUUAUAAAUCCCAUAAAAGGUCUCGAAAUCUACUCGCUUUCCUUUAAGGUCAGAAUCUGUAAGAAUU